rnacentral:rRNA from 1 species
AGUGAACGCUGGCGGUAGGCCUAACACAUGCAAGUCGAACGGCAGCACAGCAAGAGCUUGCUCUUACGGGUGGCGAGUGGCGGACGGGUGAGGAAUACAUCGGAAUCUACUUUUUCGUGGGGGAUAACGUAGGGAAACUUACGCUAAUACCGCAUACGACCUACGGGUGAAAGCAGGGGAUCUUCGGACCUUGCGCGAUUGAAUGAGCCGAUGUCGGAUUAGCUAGUUGGCGGGGUAAAGGCCCACCAAGGCGACGAUCCAUAGCUGGUCUGAGAGGAUGAUCAGCCACACUGGAACUGAGACACGGUCCAGGCUCCUACGGGAGGCAGCAGUGGGGAAUAUUGGACAAUGGGCGCAAGCCUGAUCCAGCCAUACCGCGUGGGUGAAGAAGGCCUUCGGGUUGUAAAGCCCUUUUGUUGGGAAAGAAAAGCAGCAGGUUAAUACCCCGCUGUUCUGACGGUACCCAAAGAAUAAGCACCGGCUAACUUCGUG